rnacentral:rRNA from 1 species
GAUGAACGCUGGCGGCGUGCCUAAUACAUGCAAGUCGAGCGAAUGGAUUAAGAGCUUGCUCUUAUGAAGUUAGCGGCGGACGGGUGAGUAACACGUGGGUAACCUGUCCAUAAGACUGGGAUAACUCCGGGCAACCGGGGCUAAUACCGGAUAACAUUUUGAACCGCAUGGUUCGAAAUUGAAAGGCGGCUUCGGCUGUCACUUAUGGAUGGACCCGCGUGGCAUUAGCUAGUUGGUGAGGUAACGGUUCACAAAGGCAACGAUGCGUAGCCGGCCUGAGAGGGUGAUCGGCCACACUGGGACUGAGACACGGCCCAGACUCCUACGGGAGGCAGCAGUAGGGAAUCUUCCGCAAUGGACGAAAGUCUGACGGAGCAACGCCGCGUGAGUGAUGAAGGCUUUCGGGUCGUAAAACUCUGGUGUUAGGGAAGAACAAGUGCUAGUCGAAUAAGCUGGCACCUUGACGGUACCUAACCAGAAAGCCACGGCUACCUACGUGCCAGCCGCCGCAGUAA